rnacentral:rRNA from 1 species
CACGUAGGGCGCAAGCGUUGUCCGGAAUCACUGGGCGUAAAGGGCGCGUAGGCGGCCUGGUAAGUAGGGGGUGAAAUCCCGCGGCUCAACCGCGGGGCUGCCUCCUAGACUGCCGGGCUCGAGCAGAGCAGAGGCUAGCGGAAUUCCCGGUGUAGCGGUGGAAUGCGUAGAGAUCGGGAAGAACAUCGGUGGCGAAGGCGGCUAGCUGGGCUCUUGCUGACGCUGAUGCGCGACAGCGUGGGGAGCAAACGGG